CAGAAGAACAGUUUAAAGUUGGUACAUAUUCCAUCUUUCUCUGUAUUUUCAAACUGGCCGCCCCCAAAAACUAACCUGGGUCAUCCUCGCUGUUUGGAUUUUAGUCCUGGUGGAGGUUUCAUGGCCAUGGGGAAUGCUAGUGGCAAGGUUUUACUAUACAAAUUGCAUCACUACCAGCAUGCCUAGAGUGUGGCACCAAGUGACGAAGAACAUUGAUGUUAGGACCCAAUGCUGAGAAGUUUUAUUGUAUCCAGUUUACAAUGUUUGAUUGUUGCCUGUUUGUUACAUUGUUUUAUCGCCUGUUUAGUAAAUUUCCCCAUGCUACUUUUUGCAAAUUUUAAGAAGCAGGAUUGUUUUCUAUGGCAUUACCCUUUUUUUCUUAUGAAGAUGAGACCUUUACACCCCGAUUUAUAUAUAGUUAUAAGGUUAUGCAUCCUAUGAGUUCUGUUUGGUAUAUAGUUGUGCUGUAACAGUAUCUUCAUUCCUAUGUCAAUUGACUUGCAGUGCCCAUGGACCUGUUGUGAGUGGUUGGCUGCACCAAUUGCCAAGUUCCGCUAGUUUAGUCAGCAUCGAAAGAGAGAUAGAAACACAGAACAGAACAACACUCCAACUUGCUCUUCUUCAAUUUCUUCUCCAACUCGCUUCUGGUUUUUGUUGUUCUUGUUCAUUUGUGUGUUGUAGUGUUGAUUUCCUUGAUCUACACAGUGCUUUCAUAUCACAUAUUCACAUGUACCUUGAUCAAACCGUUUAUAGUUGUCUCUCCUUCUAUUACUUCAUGGGAUUUUCUGAUGCCGUGGCGAUCCUUAUUUUAAGGUUGUAUUGCCCAUUAAAAUGACAAUAGAAACGUGUGUCAUUCCCAUCAAGCCUCUGGUUUGGUAACAGUGUAACACUGCUUAUUUGCUGUGGCCUUCAUUCAGAUGCUCAAGGCUCUGCCAGUUGCACUCGGUGGUUUGAAUUUCCAUAUUCACUGAUGUUGUUAUGAAUCUUUGGACUGGUGCUGAUAAUGAUUUAAUCAGUGCAGGAGUGGAAGUUGGAGAAGAAGUCGUCAGAUCUAUGAGGGGAAUGCAUGCUACUGAUCAAAACAUGGAAGCACCUCUAAUUUCAUCCUUCAGUGAUCUGUGCUACUAUACAUCAGCAGUAGCAGUGUGAAGAUUUUGGGUGUUUUGAUUGCAGGGAUGUUUAAACAGAGCAGUUUCAGUGCCUAGUCUGUAAUCUUGGCGCUCGUCAGGAAUUUAAUUUCUAAAAGCAUCAACAAAUUAAAUAAUAAUAAUAAUAAAAAGAAUUUGUUUUCUCAUACAACACUAAUAUAUAUAUCAUAAUAUGCGAAAUACAAGGGUUUUAUUUCAUUGGGAAAGAAUAUAACUUCUAAAAAGUCAUGUCAUGUGACCUAGUCUCCUUGCAACCUCCUGGCUCGGUGGCAGAAGUAGCAAUCUAAGAUCCACUCAUAGGUCAUGAUACAUGUGUAGUGAAUAUAAUGUCCACAGCGUCUCCUGUUGGAAGAAUCAGCUAUCAAUUCCCCCAAACAAAGCGAACAUUUUGUACUACUAUCAUCUCCAAAUGCAGACUGUACUUCGGCAACAUUGUUAAAUGGAUUUAAAGCAGGAAACUGGUGAUCCUGCCUUCUAACCUCUCUGAGUGCAUUGUUUCUCAUCUGAUUCUCUGCAAUAGCUAGAAGUGUCAGCAUAGUUGCAUGAUUCCGAACACCUUCCUCAAUAGUUUCACCUGCAAUCAUAUAUAAUUACAAAGCACAAUAAAUGAUGUGUAUGCUGAACUACAUAAUUCAAAUUUAUUUACAUAGAAGAGAAACAGUGAGCAAAUGAACUUACUAUGGCGAUUUGUAUAUCGUAGCGAUGGGUUCGCCUCAUAAGAGAAUCGACCGAAUGUUGUUAUGCCUUGGGAAGCAUAGGGAACCGUGGCUCUUAUUUCAGAACCAGAACCAGAAGCAUUGUAGUUAUUACCACUUGCCAACCUUAACAUCUCAGCCCUCACACCAGUUGGCAACAUAGUUGAAGCAUUAGGCCGACUGUUACUCAAUCCAAUUCUGGGAAAGUAUUGUUGCCCAGUCAGAUUCAUAGGAUCAUAUUGGUUGACAAGGCUUGGGUAUGGAUUUGCUCUGUUAAAUCUUCUUUGUAUGUCUCUGGUGCGUAUUGGACCACCAGCAUUGCCUCUGUUGCUUUGCAACCUAAGAAGUCCGAAAUGAUUUUGAAUAAUUUCUUCUUCUUCUGGACUCAUAGUGAGAUUGUUGUUCUCUCUUGGUGGUGAUGGUGAAUUCCUACCGAUAGCAGCAUGCUCAUCUCUUGUGGAACCAGAAUCUGUUCCACUGACAUUGCCUCGUCUGUUCUCCAUUUGUUCAAAAAAAAUCCCGAAAAAACUCGCAAAUCUAUUAAAAACAAACUGAAACUGUUCCAAGGACAAACAGAGAAUGAGUAAGUGAGUGACACACCAAGUUCUCUAUUCUUUGAGAAAUUUAUAGAAACCAGAACAACCAUGAAACGUUAAGAGGUGUGUUUGUUGAUCAUUUGGUAGCGUUUCGGAUAUUUCUUUAUUUCUUUUAGCGAAGCGAAACACCUCUUCACUAACCAAACACCUCCCGCCAAAAUUUAGUUAUUUCAGUUAAGUGGGUAUGUUAAUAUGGUCCUCGGUUUAUUUUAUAAAUCAUACUCCUUUUAAUAAUUGGAAAUUUAAAAUUAAAUAGAAAUCCCUGUAUUUUCUUAAAUUUAACAUAGAGCCCCCCAUCAAUUGAUGUCGGACACGUGUCUAACGAGUCUUCUCGCCGCAUUGCACAACCGACACACGAAUAAACCUAAGUACACAAUUAAGGUUUCUCUUUAAUCUUGCUGCCCUUUCAAUCCAAUUGCAAUUUGGUUCCUAUGUGAAGUCACGUACUCACGUAUCAUCAAGGUGUAGGUUUUUUUUUUUUUUUUACUUAUUAUCAUCAUUAAUUACAAACCAUUGUUUUGUUCUGUUCUGUUCAUGUGUUUAGAUUUGUUUAAGUUUAUAUAAUUUGCAAAAUAUAUUGUUUUAAGUUUAUUGAUUAAUCAUAAGUAAAAGUUGUUUAAGGUUGGUUUGUUUUGUUUUUGUUCAGAAUAAGUGGAUCAGUGAUGAUGGGCACUAAGGAAGAAGAUAUUAUCAGCAACUUACCAGAACAUAUUAUUCAUCAUAUACUAUCUUACCUAGAAAUGAAGUAUGUUAUUCAAACAUGCAUUUUAUCAAAAAGAUGGAUUUCACUUUGGAAAACUCUACCUUCUCUCAACUUCGACUUUGAUACACAUUAUAAUAAUCUACAUGUUCUUUUCAAAUUGAAGAGAAGGGAGAAAUUUACUGAUUUUUUGUACAACGUAUUAACUUUGCGUGAUGUACACUAGACAUUAAGUCCGAAAGUUUUGAGUUAAUAAUAAUCUGGUCGGGGUCUGCCUAACCCCAGCUUGCAAUUUGCAAAAAAAGCUUUGCGUGAUAUGUCAUCAAAUAUCACUUCUUUCCGUCUUGCCUAUUCCUUUUUCAGUAUGGAAGCAUGGAUGCGCUUCGUGACACUACGUCACAGGGUCAGUGCUUAUUGUGUCACAUGGGAUGCCAAUAAACCCCUCGCAUGGCGUCAACAGUAUGGAUGGACUGCCUUCUGUGGCCAUGUCGGUCCUCGUGGCCAGGCCUCCUGUGGAAGGUGCCUAAGUGUAAAGCAGAAAAAAUCACAUAGCUAGACCUCAAAAAUUAGCUUUUCUCGCAUAGAGUAGAUAUGUCAAAGUAGAAUGGAGAAAUGGCCUAAUAGUGAUGCACAUAGUCACAAUUCUAUGGUAGAAUUCAAAAAUUAUUGGUUUUUGCUAUGAAAUUGAUCAAAUCAAAACUACAUAUAUUUCAAGUACGAUAUGGGCAUUAUCCAUCCAUAUUGGGCUACGACCCAAGUACGAUAAAAGGCUAUUCUUGUAAUAUAUGAAGCAUAACUAUGGGUCAUGGACUCUUUGAAUUUGAUAUGGGUCAUUACAAAUGUAUAUUAUCCACACCUCAACAAAUGUAUUAAUAUUUAAUUUUUCGAUAAUAAAAAUAUUGAACAAGUGUCUCAUUUUUAGUAUUUGAUAAUAAAGAUAGUUAAUAUAUUAUCCAUACUUCUAUUAGAGCAAUAGAGCUGUGAGGCACACCCCAUGAAAAUGUUGGAAAAAUGAAUCAGAAUUAUAUAAGCAAGCAUCAGCUCAUAAGAGCACAUGAGGUAUCCCUCCAUAGAAAGGUGAGAGGAAGGUAGCAUAAUUGCAGAAACAAACAGAACAGUCAGUUUCAUUAGUUACUUGGCUUGCUUAGCAUGAGGUGUUUGUUACAUGACACUGGGUAUGAAAAGAAUUCUACUCACAUGAAAAUAACACUGUUUGUUACUUGUAAGGCACCUUCUCUGCAUGUGGGAUAAAAAGGAAUCUACCUUGUGCAAACAAUGGACCCCUGCAGAAGUGCAGAUCAUACUGAUGUCAGUCCAGAAACUCCUAUUACUUUGAUAAUCCUCACAAUCCUUCUCCCUGUUUCCAAUAUACACCAAAAGUCCAAAUAUUGCCUAGUGUUCCCAUUGAUGACACACAUGUUAUAUUCCCUUCAAAAAAUAUAUGGCAUCAAGAUAAAUGUUGUCUAUGGCCCGAUUGACAGAGACUCUGCAGCUCACAUCUAAGCCUCCUCGGCAUCAUUAGACUCACAGAUGAAAACAUCAGAGGCAUCACAGACAACUUUCAGAAAUGCACAGAAUCAACUCAAAUCAAAUAAUGAAUUCAACUUCCAUCAAUAAUGAAUAAGCUCAAGAAAAAAAUUGAAGAAAAGAGAAUCAUAUAUCUUAUCUCAAGUGUAACAUGUCUACUGUGGUGAUAAUUAAAAAGAUACAAAAAUUGCUACAUCAUGAGAGUUCAUAUCCUUACUUAUAUUGUUGACAUGGCCCAUGCAAACACAAGACUUUAAUUACACUGAAGUAGUCUUUCUUUGACGUUAGUUACAUACAACAAAUGAUGGCACCUUUACACUGUUGGAGUUAAUAAGCAAACAAAAUUUUGACCAUUGCAAGCACCAAUUGCACUGGUUUAGAGUAACACGGAUGGUAAAUGAAAGAUUGAAGUAUUAACAAAGAGAUCAUAAAAUAUAAUGUUCUGCUCUUCUUGUGUGGUCAAAUCUCUUGCCUGUUGGAGAUGUUUAUCCAUUCCGCAAAAAUUUGAGUCUCCAGCUUUAUCAAACAUCAGUCAUCCCCAACAAUGGAGAGUGAAAAGGGGGCUAUAGCAACAUUGAAGGUUGGUGCGCCUACUUUAUCUGUGUACUUCAUCUCAAAGUCUGUCCUUUUGAAGGCUGGCUCCGAUCCUCAAUGUACACACUCCUAACUUGAACCCUGACUCCCUGGAAUAUAGGAUAGGAAGAUAUAUCAAGAUAAUUGAGCCAUUCCAUGACAAAAAAAUGGAGUAGAUAGACUAAUAUAAUUUUCUACUACAUUUUGUAAAUGGUAUGCGUCACAAAUGAAUAUUCAAAUAAGUUACUAACCACAAUAAACAUACCAAUCGAGAAACAAUACUUCAGAAAUGAAGAUAUACUGUGGCUAAGAGUGAUCAGCUGACAAUCUGACAUCAGGCUUUUGUGUAUAAAGAAGUCUGCAGCUUCACUCUGCGAUGUGUAGUAAAUAACACUUGGGUGUGUGUUUGAUUCAUAUAAUAUGGAUUUUCCAGAGAAAUUUUUUGCUUAGGUGUUGUUUUGUUUUUUCUUUAGUUAAGCACUUAAUGGCCUGAAUACUGAUUAAGUUCUUAAUACACAUUAAGUAAUUCAGUGCUUCAUUCUGCCAAAAAUUUGGGCUGAACCACUUAAUUAGAAAUCAAUGGACUGAUCAGUUAAGUCCUGAACCAUUUAAGAAUAAAACACCCACUUAUAAGUUCAGACUGCUUCAUGAAAAACAAACGACCCCUUAGGGUAGAAAUGUAGAUUACUUUUAAUUUAGCAUAAAACCAAACAAUCUUCUUUUUCCUCCCAUAUUUUCUUCCAAUCAUAACCUCUUCCCGACUUCACCUGCCUUCCAUCAUUCUCCGCUCUCAAAAUUUUCCAAAAAAAAAAAUAAAAUAGUUUCCACAAAACAAACAUGCUAUUGGUUUUUUAAGUGGAUGGAGAAACAUGGAGGACUCAAAGGAGAAAAACAAAGGAAAGUAAACCAUGAAAAAAGCUUAUAAAUAAUGGGAAAGAAUAUUUCUGGAAGAACCAGAUGGUUGAAAAUUGACAUACCAGGGUUGUUGCAUCACUCGAACAUUUAAGAAGCGCAUGUGGUGCCAAUAGCUUCAACUCAUCCCUGUAUUUAGCUGCAUCCUGGAAAUUAACACAAGAAUCACAGCAUUCAGUGUUUCUCAACUGUUCAAUGAUACUGCACAACAUAAUAUACAUUCAGUUUUUGAAUAAAACAGGAUCAGUUUCUAAGAACUAAAAGCAAUUGCCGUAGCGGCUUUGUAUGGUCACUAGUCUGUCAAUUUGGUGAUUAUCUUAAUUACUUUCAUCUUCAUUGCUAAAUACCUUUUCCUCAAACACCAAGUCCUAGAUGUUGGUUGCAACGAUAGCGGCAGCUUUUAAUUUUUCAUCUCCUAUUAAGCACGGAAACAUCCAUGAAAAAGGUAAUGAAACUGUUGACUUGGUGUUUGUAGACAAGUGUCACCAUUCUUAUUCUUUGUUCUUCAGGCUGUAGAAUACUCUUUUGUUUUUCUUUUCUUUUUUUGUUCUUGAUAUGUUAACAGUUAUUGACUUUGGGACUACUGUGAUUGUGGUAGAAUUGCAAGUCCUUUCUUUGUCGGCUGAGUAUUCAGUGGCUAAUAAAGAUUCUAGUUUGCUUAUCAUCCAUCAAAAGCAAAGUUGAUAACAGUAGAAAACGAGGUUGAUUGGUUGAACUACAUUAAUUGUAUGUAUUAUUAAAAGAAAAGGGCUCAGGGACUGAAACCAGGUACCUCAAAUCUCUCAUCAGCCACUGCCUCCUUCAGUGCUCUCAUAAGGCGCAAUACUGGCUCUUCAUCUUCGAAUAACUUCAACGUGUCUCUGAUUCUUGCAGCUUCUUUGUAGUCCUACAAUGAGUAGACAAUAUAUGAGAGUUAAAACAAGAAGAUAAAAGUCUAAAAGGGUGUCCACAAAAGUACUUGGUUUAGUCAGACUGUCAGAGAGUAAAUCUCUACCAAUAUCAGUUUAGAAAUUCCAACAAAUGCAGAAUUUACAGUAACUUACUCUUACCGUUAUUUUAAUAACUACAUAAGAAGUUUACUUCAUCCAUCUCCCAGAUACGUUCCGAGCCUUUCUACUAUCUAGUUAGUCACAUUUCCAUGCCAUGAUUGGCACUUUCCAUUUUAUAUAUCUAUGGAGGAGAUAUUAUCACCAAAUACAUGGAGAUCAAUCACCAUCUUAAUUCUGAGGAUAAUCACCAUAAAUCAAACGUUCGAUAAUGAUAAGUACCAUGAACCAAAAAUAACUAUCAAAUUGAACAUGGUGAAAAACUUGAAAUUAUCUCUCAAGGGAGAUCGCCAAUUUUAAUAAAACAGAGUUCAAAUUCUUCACUGGUACCAAUGAAAAAAAACAAUUUUCGUCAUUAUUAUUUGGACAUUGAAAAAAGGGGUUCAGCUCACAGAUUGUGAAAAGUUUAGCCUUAGUCCAAUAUGAACAGACACAAAUCAGUAACCCCAAUAGUCAUUCCUGAUCUCAUCAUCGAACUUCUUUUUCAGUUCAGGAUGCUUCUCGAAGUAUUCAUCUGUUGUCAUGGUACUGAUCUUCCUCUGUUCAAAUGAUGAACAAACUUAUUAGAAUGUUGUAAAGAAAUCACUAUUGAUUGAAGGCCAAUCAAAUUCAAUCCAUUUACCUUCAAUUCUUGGGUUUCUACAAUUUCCUUUUCCAAUCUCUCAAACUCCUUCAGGGAAUUCUUCUCAGCUUCUUUCAGUUCUACCAACUGCAAUUCAGGCAUUCAAAUUGUUACACAAAAUCAACGAUUGUUGUUGCAACUAAACCAACUUUAAACUAGGUGAGUGAAGACGCAAAGAAUAGGUUGAGAGAGAGAGAGAGCCGAGAGAGAGCCGCAAAGAAUAGGUUGAGAGAGAGAGAGAUGAUCUAAUUAGUAAAUUAGUUUUUUUUUUUUUUCAGGUUUCGGGUUGACCCGAUGGGUUUGCCGUAAAAACCUGAACCUGACCUGAUUUAUAAUCAGGUCAAUCAGGUCGACCCGAUUAACCGAAAAAACUCCAAAAAUCCAAACCCAAACCUGACCCAUAUCAGGUCGGGUUCAGGUCAGGUUUCGGGUCACCGGUUAUCAAACAGACCCUAGUUUACUACUUUUUACUCACUCAGCCAAAAAAAUACAAAAAUAAAAACGAACUGACAGAAAUAGUCAACAUUUUGAGCCAAAUUCUUAAUACUGUGGGCCGAUCCAAUAUCAUGUUUGAGAUCAUGAAGCCCAAGAGAGUUGACUCACUGAACAACUAGGGUUUAGUCCAAAACCAAAACCCUACUUCACUCUGCAAUUAUAGAGAGAAUCAGAGAAAGACGAAGACAUACCCUUUUCUUCCUUCCUUCCUUCCUCUCCAUCUCAAAUCUCACUUUCUCUUUCUUCCUAAGAGAUAGCUCAAUAAGAGAGAAUUGAAUUGAUUUAAUUAACAGGUAAUUAUCUGUUUAUCUACUUCAAUUUUCUUAUAGUUUUCAUGGUUUUAUUUCUUCAUCUCUAUUUCCCAACAAGAAUAAAUUAAAUUCAUUACUUUUUACUGAAAUCUAUUUAGAAGUAGACAAAUUUUAAUCUCAACUGAUAUAGUUUGAGCUAAAAAUUCCGCCUUUUCUAGUUUUCAAUCUUGAAUUUGAGCUCCAAAUGAUGCGUUUUUUUAAUAGUAGAUUGCAAAGUUUGUUUAUUAUGGUACAAAAUGUGAGUGGAUUGCAGUGCAGAGAGGGAAAUAAGUAUUCAUGUUAAAAAUGGCCAAAUUCUUUAUUGGGCACCUUGUUUAAUUUGGUUGCUUGGUAAUUUGAUAAUUUGAUUACCCUAUGGAAAUUUUUAAUACAUUGUGAUUUGGGCGGGUUUAUAUUAUUGAAACAAAAUAGCAUUGUUAAUUCGGCAUGUUGAUUUUAUUGAAAUAAAAUAUUGCAUAGCAAGUUUUUCGUUAAUUACCCUUGCUUUUUGUAGUGUAAGAGUUUUAACGGAAGUUCCAUCUUUCUACUUAAAUUUCAUUCUGAUUUCAUGUUAUGACAGGGUAAGUUUUUGAAUUUGGUAUUGGGAUGUUUUAUCAAGACAUAACAACUUCAAAUAUUUGUCUAGUUUAUAAUUUCCGACAAUUUUUUAUUUCCCCACCAGUGUAAUCAGAUAUCUUGUGAACCAGACUAAAUCCCAUUUCUGUUCAAGCCGAGCUUGAACAUAAAACCAGGCUCGUUUUUAUUUUUGUAUUUUUUUGGCUGAGUGAGUAAAAAGUAGUAAACUAGUUCAUAUUUUAUUGGCAAACGGCAAAAAGUAGGGGUGUUAUUCAGGCCAAGCGAGCCGAGCUUUGAAUGCUCAUACUCGGCUCGUUUUAAUACGAGCCGAGCCCGAGCCGAGCCCAAUUUCUGAAUCGAGCCUGGUUUUAUGUUCAAGCUCGGCUCGCGAGCUAUUUAUCAAGCUCGAGCUCGAGCUUGUUAGGCUCGUUUAGCUCGAGCCGAGCUCGAGCCCUCCAAGCUCGUUUAGCUCGAAUCAAGCUCGAACACUCAAAGCUCGUUUAGCUCGAGCCAAGCUCGAGCUCGUUUAGCUCGUUUGCAGCUUUUUCCUGGUAUAAAACAGACCUCUGUUGCAUUCUCUCUAUCUUACAUUCUUACCAAAGAUUUCCACUAAAAUCUCGAUAUCUAAAACCUACUACAAGAAGUUUCUUCUGUCAUAAAUCAAGCCACAGUUUAUUUGUAACUGCAGUUUCCAGUCCACCUUGUAACAUCAUCUUUUUCUUUAAUAUAAUUCAGGGACAAAAGAGAAGUCAUGAAAUACAGAAAUUAAUAGAAAACUAAUGAUACAACCUCCUUACCCAUAACUAAAUUAAUUAAUUACACUAAUCAGAUUAUCUUAAUUUAAUUCAUUACAAAAAUAGAUGAUUGUGAAGAAGAAGCAGCAGCAUAGAAAGAAAGAUGUAACUCAUAUAAUUUGAGUAGAAAUUAAAAAACUAAACUUGUUGUUUAAUUAAUCAUAAAACUCAAAUUCAUGAAUCAAAAUCUGUAAAUUGGAACGAAGAAAUUUCAAACAAAAAUUUAGCAAAUUACCAAUUGGAGAUGAAGUAUGAAACUACCAGCUUUCUUCAAUCCUUUUUUCUUAACAAUGAAGUAUGAAGUUACCACCAAGGCACCAACUGGAGAUGAAGAUGGAUACUGGUUAGAUCGAGUUAGAGAAAGAAGAAGGAGAAGGGAGACGGCUAGGUUUCGCCCACAUAUUGUUAUGUUGAUAUAUAUAUUCAUAUACUAGCAGCUGACCCGUGCCUUCGGCACUUGCAAUCAAUUGUGAUGGGUUUGGCCACUAGGUUGGGGCUGGGGCAAUGUAUUUACAUAUUGGGGUUUCAGUUGGUGAGAUUAAAGUAUUUGAUAUGUGGUGUAGGAGCUUUUGUGUUGGUGUUCAUUCACGCCUGUGUUUGAAAGUAGGCAAGGAGAUUUGAGGUUGGGCUAGCUUUUUUAGAAAACAAGAAGACAUUGAUAGGGAUAAUAGAUGGAGCAUACCAAAAUUGUGUGUCAACAGACGUAUAAUCAAGACAGGCUACUAUUUUCACUCGUGAAAUAAAAAGAAAAAAAAUACACUUGUAAAAAACAGAUCCAUAUCAAAGUGCUUACUUCAACAAUUUUUUAAGUAAAGUCCUGAAUUGGAGACCUACGUUCAGCGAUACCAUUAGAUUCGGGUGUAUAUGGGGCAGUUGUUUGAUGAAUUAUGCCAUGUUCUAGACAAAAUUCUCCAAACGGUAUCUCGUAUUCACCACCCCUAUCACUUCUUACUGCCUUGAUCUUUUUGCUAAGUUGAUUUUCAACUUCAUUCUUAUAAUGUUUGAACAUUUCCAAUGCUUCAUUUUUACUAUGUAAUAAGUAUACAUAGCAGUACCUUGUACAAUCGUCGAUAAAUGCAAUGAAGUAUUUCUUACCCCCUCUGGAUUGUACUGCUUUUAAGUCGCACAAAUCAGUGUGAAUUAAACUUAGUGGUUCUGUACUUCUUUCUACUGAAUGGAAAGAUCCUUUAGUUAAUUUCGCUUCCACACAAGUUUCACAUUUGUAACUUGUGUCAAUAUUAAACUUAGGUAUGCGACCCAUGUUAAUUAGCCUACGUAUAGUAUUGAAAUUAACAUGUCCUAAUCUGUUGUGCCAAACAUUAAAGGACUCCAACAUAUAAACAGAAACAUCAUUCUUAUUAUUAGAAUCCUUUGGAACAAUAGUCAGUACAUUGAAUUUGAAUAAGCCGUCACUAAGAUAUCCACGGCCUACAUACACUCCUCCCUUUGUAAGUACAAAUUUGUCGGACUCGACAACUAGCUUGAAUCCAUUCUUGCUUAACAGAGAACCUGAAACCAGAUUCUUGCGUAUAUCCGACACAUGCAGAACAUUGUUCAAGGUCACAUCCUUUCCCGAAGUCAUGCGCAACACUACUGUUCCUUUCCCUUCAAUUUUGGAAGUGGAGGAGUUUCCCAUAUACAAUUGAUCACCAUUAGUGACUGCUUCAUAGUUGGUGAACAUUUUUCGAUCAGAGCAAAUGUGCCUAGUAGCACCUGUGUCCAGCCACCAUUCUUUUGGAUUAUCUCCAACCAGAUUAGCUUCGGAAACCACAGCACAUAAUUUCAGUUCUGCAACAUCUGACAAUAUUUUUUCUUCUUCAGUAAGAUGAGCUUCCUUUUGUUUCUUUGAGGCUCCUCCACCCCUGCUCCUGCAUUCAUGUUUCUUAUGACCAAUUUUGUUGCAAUUGAAACACUUACCCUUGAACUUUUUGGCGUUGCCUUGGUUCGAUUCUUUGUUAUCAGUUUGCUUCCUCUUCUUGUUGUUUUGGCCAUGUUCAACAACAUUUGCUUUGGAUACAUGAGAGUGGUUUCCUGUUAGUUUUUCCGAGACACGGUUGUCUUCUUCAAUGCGAAGCCUCACAAUCAGAUCCUCAAGUCCCAUUUCUUUGCGUUUGUGCUUUAAGUAAUUCUUGAAAUCCUUCCAAGCUGGUGGUAAUUUUUCGAUUACUGAAGCAACUUGGAAUGAUUCACUCAAACUCAUUCCUUCUGCAUGAAUUUCGUGCAGUAUCAAUUGAAGAUCUUGGACUUGAUUGAUUACUGACUUGGAAUCCAUCAUUUUGAAUUCGAGAAAUCUGCCCACCACAAAUUUCUUCAAUCCAGCGUCUUCUGAUUUGUAUUUCUUAUCAAGUGACUCCCAUAAUUCCUUGGCAGUCUUGAGUGGACUGUACACAUUGUACAAAGUGUUGUCAAGUCCAUUCAAGAUGUAGUUCCUACACAAGAAGUCUCCAUGAUUCCAAGCAUGAACCGCUGCUGUGGUUUGACGAUCAUUCUCGUCUUCCUUGAGCACAGGAGCAAUUUCUACCAGAAAUUUGGCGAGGUUCAAUGUCGUCAAAUAAAACAACAUUUUCUGUUGCCAACGCUUGAAAUCAGUACCAUUGAACUUCUCUGGUUUUUCUCCAUGAUUGACUUGUGUGGGGAGAUUGGGAACCAAUGGAGCAGACAUAGGAAUCACGGUAGUAGCAGCCAUAGGAGUGACAGUGUUUUGUUCAGUUUCAAUGGAAGCCAUUGAUCUGUUGAAUAAAACACAAACAAUAAUCAAACAAAAUAACUAGUUUGAAUUAAAUUAGAUAUCCUAAAUGGAUUUUAAUUGUGCAAUGUGCACACAGUAUAAAUAAUCAGUUAAAUGGAAACAAAAGAAUCAGUAUUCAAGACGAACGGCAAAGAAAAUUUUUGUCUUAAGAUUGUUAGCGAUGCGAAUCUUGUAUACUGAAUCUAAGGCAAACUAAUCUAAAAAUUAAAAUUAGAAUGGGACUGUAGAAGUAAGAUAACAAAGAAAAUUUAAACAAAAAAGGAAUUAACAGAAUUGAUCGAGUCGAGAAAUUGCUUCUCUGUCCUUAAGACAAAAUUCGCCCCGCAUAGAUGCUCACGGUGAAUGGCGAUUGUCUCCCAGGAUACAACGAUCGUACCUCUUGGAGUAGCAGCACUUCAAACUCCGAGAAUCAGCGAACCAGUAAUACGAAGUAAACUCUCUCAAAAUAACACUACAACUAUGCAAAUUGAAUGCAAGUAAACAAAGAGAAAAUGAAUAUUUUCGAUUGAAGAAUAAUGAGAGAAUGGGUAAUUUUAUAGGAGAAUUGGUAUCUUCAAAUAGGUGUGAAUAAGAGAAUUGGUAUCUUCAAAGAGGUGCGAUGUCGAUUCCAUUAACCAUCGCAACUAUUGUGAAAAGGCAUCACAAUGUUUGAUACACCAUUUCUCUUUUGGAAGAACAGGUGUUUUCCUCUUCAAGGAGUCGGUUGAAAGAACAAUCACUUAUGGGCCUGGGCCCAAGUUAAUAUUUAAUCUAAUACACACUUGUUCUUUCCACCAAUUUCUCAUUCACCUGGAAAUCGAUUUAACAUAUUUCCAACACUACCAUCCAUAAUGAGCCAUACAAAACCACUAAGUCUUUGAUCAUCUUCCUAAUAUGUAGUUUAUUUUUUCAUACAAUGAUUUUGGAGGCAUGGCUGACAGGACUAUAUCCAUUACAUUGCUCAAUCUCUCGCUCAUUAAUUUCAAACAAAUAUGUCCUCCAUUACAUCAGGUGUUGCACUUCUCGAGCUUAGGAAAGCCUCAAGAUUUGCUAAUUGUUUUCAAAUGUCACCUUACAUAUGGAUCUGUUCUUCACACCAGGCUUUGUGCUAUUUGCAACAUAUUCCUCUCUUCAGUUACCUCUUCAUGCAUUUUCAUGGACUCUGAACUUCAGGUUUAUCCUGAUCACACAUUUCUUUCAUUAACACUUUAGCUUUUCUCUCUUUUUCAUAGUCUUGCAUACUACGCUUUGCCGAUAGCUUGGUCUCAGCAAAUUCAUUGACCAACUUAGAGUUAACAAUCCAUUGUAUGACGAUUUUGUGUUUCUCUUUUCAAUUCAGAUCUUCUAAUCCCUUCUACUCCUAUAUGCAACCUUUUCCUCGGCAAGUUUGCUCACGAAGUGUUCAAGUUUUUCCUUUGAAGACCGACCCCUCAGUCUCCAGGUCAUCAAUGCGUGUCCUAGACUGCUCCAGGUCCAGGUCAUCAAUGUGUGCCCUAACCUGUUGAUGCAUUACAAACCUGCUGGUCUUCAAGAAGCUUCAUUUGGCCAUAAAACCGAUGGACUUCAUCCAAUGAUUUCGAGCAUACUGGGUUAUGAAAUGGCAAAGGUUCAACCUAAAACUUAAUAUAAAUAGUAAUCAGGUCACGGUGAUUCAAAAGAUUAAAGAUUAGAUAAAACAUUGACUAUAGAAAUCUGUUCAUGAGGUUUGUUUUGUACAUCAAUUUGCAUGUGUACAGUCUGAGCUACAUGUAAACUUCUGAGAAACAUAAUUGUUUUUUAUAAAACGACCUCUCAAAUUAAUCAACCAAAGAAUGUCAUUGAUUUUACAUAGUUCGUUGCUUUGUGUGUGUAUUUUAUCAUCUACCUUUCCAUUCAUAUGGCCACCUUCAAUCUCAUUUUCUAUGUUAUCUACAAUCAACAAACUUCUCAUAAAUCCCAUCAAUCAGAGAAAUGGCCCGCAAAUUUUGCACUGGGUAAGUAUCUCAACUUCUUGCUCAAUGUCAAUGCAGGAUUGUGACAACUGACUCUUCCCAAGCCUAUAUUUUUGUAUAAGAAAUACCAACAAAACCAUUCUCAUAUAUCAAAAUUUGGAGUAGGAAUUUAUCUCAAAACAGAAAUCGCAUUUUGCAAUCGCGAAAAACAAAAAUCUAGGAAGAGAGAAGAAGUGGAAGUAUAAAAAUGAAGGAAGAUAGAAGAUAACCUGUCGAAAUCGAGCGAAUAGUGGGAGUUUUAGACAGAAAUCGCCAUCGCCAUCGCCGUCGCCAUUGUUUUCUCUCUUCUGAACCGUCUUUUUGCGAAGAAGAAAGGGUAAAUAGGUUAAGGAAAAAAAAAAUUUGGCUUUUAUACAUGUGCAAAUCAAACCGGGUAAAUAGGUUAAGAAGUUUACUUCAUCAUGAGUAAUGUUGAUCUUGUCUUGGUGAUAUUUAUGUUUGCAGGUACUUGGUUUUGACUACCUCGGAGACAAUCUUGCCAGAAAUAGUGGACAACUUGUUAUGAGAUGGUAAGUUUUUAGUAAGAGUCGCAUAAGAAUCUUUCGUUUUACCUUGUUAAUGUUAAAAUUUAGUUCAUUCUCUUUAAUUAAGCUAUCAAUUAGAGAAGAGAUUAUUUUCGACUGGAUUCACUAAUUUAACAAUGCAGAAACAACAAUUUUUUGGACGACAGUGCAAGUUUCAGUUAUUGGAAAGUCUGAGACUUUGGUUUACUUAUAACUGUAUUAUUCCAUUGAAAGGAUUCACAUUUUAUUUAAAUGAACAUUUUUGGGUUGUGCUGAAUUCGACGAGUCAGUUAUAUUAUAUCCAACUUAUGGUAGCAUCAGAAGGGGUUGGGGUGGGUACGUAUCCAAGCUUUGUUUGAUGAUGGUGUUUUAUCCUUUGAUGUGCAUACCUCUAAUAAUUAGAUUAUUUUAUUUAUAUCUGUUGAAUGUAAGAGGUAGACUUCUUCACUACAAACCACAGUGAAUUUGAGGAUUAUCCAAAAUGACGAGAUUAGACGACCUGUACUGAUUGCAUUUGUUGUAGAUUAGUGUGUCUAUACUUAAAGUUUGAUAUUGUACAAUGGGUGCCAGAUAUUUUGCUGCAAUUGUUACAUUUUGAAACCUCCGUUCUUGUUCCUGCACUGACUCAUAUUUUUGCAGGUCUGCAACGAUUUUGAUGAUCUAGAUGAGUACCACUAUCCUUUCAAGUGUUUGGAAGAUGGUUUCAGGAGAAGCUAAACCCCCCAGUCUUUGAACAAACAGGUGAAAACAUGGAAAGACAUACAUCUUUCUUCUCUAAAUUUCGUUUCUGCGGAAAACUGAUAUUCAUAAGCUUUUUUUUUACUCUUGCAGACUCCUGAUUUUGAGAAGCGGAAAAGAGUCUGUAAAUGCCCCCGGUGUACCCUGUAUGUUUGAUGAUUGGGUUGAUUCGGUUUCAAAGCACGUGUUGUGAUUAUCCAAAUGCUUUUUCUGUAGUGCUGAAUAUUAGUGUUUAAAUUCCCAAAGUUGUCUGUUCAAAAUAAAACAGGGAAAACCCUUGUUUUCAAGCUUGUACUGAACUUAUUUCCUUGAACAAGAUCAAACUCAUUGUUACAACCUCUGCUUCUCUCCCCCUUAGUAACCUAAUUGGAGUUAAUGAUAUGGGCAUAUCCCAUAAUCAAAAUUGCAAAUCAACAGAAUUGAUGAUCUCAAUAGGUUUAAAGCAAUCUUUGUUCUGAGUUGAAAUUGAGACAAUUGAGAAUCCUGUUUGCAUGAAUAGUAAAAGUUAAAUUAUAAACAGUGUUCAUCAGUUUUGGGCUUUUGAUUAAACAAAGUGGUGCACUGUCCACAGGCAUAUGGCAUUGUUGUGAAAGCUGCAGAGAGAACCAAUAAUGCUGGGAAAACUAUUCAAGGGUGGAAACUUGUGUACUCUGGCGACACUAGGCCAUGCCCAGAACUGAUUGACGCCUCUAGUGGUGCAACAUUACUUAUACACGAGGCAAGUCAAGUAAUUUCCUUGAUAAAAGAGUAGUAGUUGUUUUCAAUCUUAUGAUAUUGCGCUUGUUGUACUCGUGAAAAUACCAUCACUGAUAGCAUUAAGGGCAAUUAAAAGGAUACCUAAGAUCAUUUAAUAUUCUGAAAUGUCCUUUGAGUGAGGGCACAUAACCCAUAGCUGUGGUAGGUUUAGUGUUAGGAUUGAAGUCGUUGCUGGAAGAUCAGCUUGCAAGCUUUCCUUUUGGACCCACAUCUAUGGUUAAUACAUAUGUCCUUAAUACAGGGAGCUCAAACAUUUUCUUGAACUUGUAGUGAGCCCCUUCCCUUAAUAGCUCAGUAUUUUUAUUUUGUAGGCAACCUUUGAGGAUGACAUGCUCAAGGGCCAAAGUUCUUAGGAGAAGGGGCUACUGGCUGGUUGGCAUUUGUAAGCUUAUCUUUAAGGGCCAAAGUUCUUUCACAUAAAUGUGACACGAGCUUAAUAUCUUUUGUGAUAUCUGUAACUCUCUGUGGUUGCAGGUGCACCAUAUACUGUUUGAUGCAUGUUGAGAUUUAAUUCUUGGUGCUAAAUAUUGUUUCUUAUUGCUGUGUUGUUUUCAGGUAUUUCGAAAAAUUGUCUUGUAUUUGCUAAAGUAAGGUACCAUAUGUCUUAAAUCUGGGUGAUGCAACGAUACACCAUGUCUUUUACAUGACGUUAUUCAAAAGUUGCAGACCUAGUAAGGUACAUGAAAAAGGUAAGCGAUUGUGUAACUUCAGAAUAAUAAUCAGAAAUUUGAUGAUCACUUUAUGAUUGGAUAUAUAAUUCGAUGCGUAAAUGUUCCAAAUUGAAAUUGACAAUUUUAUUCAUUCUUGGAAGCCUAAUUGCUUCUUAUUUUAGAAGAGACACAGUGGUGUGUGUAUUAUUAUCAAAUUAGAGGUAGAAUCAGUACUGUAAAGGUCUCUCUAACAGUUGACGAACUGGUAGUUAACAAUGAGGUGACCCUGAGCAAUGCCUCUUCCGUUAGUGUCUAUCUGUCUAAACACUCCUUCCUCCAAAUCAAGUCCUCCAUUGCUGCACUGGUCGACAAUCCUCACAGUUAUCUGAGCGCCUGUAUAAGUGUUGGUCACCUGCAAGUCAUCACAAUCUUGAGUCAGUUAUAGUUCUUUCAAUUUUGAAAUAUAUGUAGUUUUGAUUUGAUCAAUUUCAUAGCAAAAACCAAUAAUUUUUGAAUUCUACCAUAGAAUUGUGACUAUGUGCAUCACUAUUAGGCCAUUUCUCCAUUCUACUUUGACAUAUCUACUCUAUGCGAAAAAAGCUAAUUUUUGAGGUCUAGCUAUGUGAUUUUUUCUGCCUUACCCUUAGGCACCUUCCACAGGAGGCCUGGCCACGAGGACCGACAGGGCCACAGAAGGCAGUCCAUCCAUACUGUUGACGCCAUGCGAGAGGUUUGUUGGCAUCCCAUGUGGCACAAUAAGCACUGACCCUGUUCAAGUCCCAUCCAUUAGCUGCAGGAUUGUAAAUAUGGUAGGUUGCACGCACAUUGGUAGCACUCUCACCGGGACCACUACCAGGAUUGCCGGUACCUCUACAAUUGCUUUGGCAGUUGUUAGAAGGUAAACAAUGAUCAUCAGUUGUUCCACACCAUCCAUAUUGGCUACAACAAAUGUUGCCUGCACAAGUGGCACCACCGGCUUGGCGACCACAGUUCUGAGCAGUUGCAACACCAAUGAGAGAGAGUAGGAAUAAAAUGCAAAGAUUUUUGUUUGCCAUUUUUGAUUGUAAGAUAUCAAGUCCAAGAGAGGUCCUAUUUAUAGAUAAAGGUUAUUAUGGAUGACCAUGCAAUUUAUGACGAAGGUUUCUUCUAUGACUGGCUUUCCUUUGAGAAUUCCAUGGUUCCAUAGAUAUUUGGUCUAAGGAAUUGUUUGUUUGUCAUAGAUAUUCAUCUAAUAUGCUAAAGGUCAAAGUCAUACUAGGCAUGCUGCUGCAGUGAUCGUCACUAUUUCAAAUGCGAAAGUGAAUGCAUAUUAUCUUAAGCCAGCCCUCCAGAAACAAGCAGAUUCGAUGACCAGGAGUGCAAGAUCAUGCCAAAGUUAUAAUGCAAUGUCUCUGUUUUCUUUUGGUACUUAUCUAAAGUACCAUUAUUAGGAACAUCUUGAGAUUUUUGGACUUUUCAACAUGUUUACAACCAGCAGCAGCCACCUAUUGUUCAACAGAAAUGUUCUUUUCAGCAACGGAUUUAGUAGGGAAUUGAAAUCAAAGUUCGAAUAUUAUGCUCACCCUACCAUUACCAACAUAGCAAAACCUAGGUAUGUCAUCUGUUGUUUUAAGGUGCUCUACAUAAGUACAUUCUACAUUUGUCUGAUGUGCCCCCCCCCCCCCCCCCCCCCCCCCCCUUCAAGAUAAUCAAUUGUUGACAAAACAAAUGAUGCAUUAGCAGGACAUGUCAAGUUGAUAAUGUCUUCCAUAUGGUAGAAAAUCUUAUGCUUCCACAAGAAAAUAUAUAACAACGUACGUGUAUAAAAAAGUCUUUACUUUCCAGUUUCCACAAUAAAAAAAAAGAAAAAGUCUUUACUUUCCACCCAAAUGUCAUUCUAUGAUUAUUGCAUCACUUCACCAUGCUUAUCUCCAAGACUCAAACAAUUUGCAUGUAUAAUUUGGUAAAACCAGCACAAAGCCUCUCCCAGUCUCUUUAUAAAUUGAUGAACCCCUCUUAGAUCACUCUAACCAUAUCUUCUCAAUAAGCAAAACCAAAAUGCCUCUUAAAUAUUUUCUUGUUGUUUCUGCUAUGUCUCAUUGCUGGUGUCCAGAGUGCUUCUAAUAGUCUAAUGUGCGUGCGACAUACCAUUUCUAUAAUCCUGCUCAAAAUAACUGGGACUUGAACAGGGUAGGUGCUUAUUGUUCCACAUGGGAUGCUAAUAAGCCCGUUGCAUGGCGUCAACAGUUUGGGUGGACUGCCGUCUGUGGUCCUGCUGGUCCUCGUGGACAGGCUUCAUGCGGAAGGUGCUUGAGGGUAAUUUGGUAUUAAAAAUUGAUAGCACGCUGAAAACUGAAGUACAUAACGCAGAGUACAAAACUUCUUUGGAAGCUAUUUAACAUUUUAACAUUUUUUUUAGUUUCGAGUAAUAGCUAAUCUUAUCACUUGAUGCAAUGCAGGUGACCAACACAUACACGGGAACUCAGGCAACUGUAAGGAUUGUGGAUCAGUGCAGCAAUGGAGGACUUGAUCUUGACGCUGGAGUGUUCCGACAACUGGACACCAAUGGAAGGGGAAAUGCCCAGGGUCAUCUUAUUGUUAACUACCAAUUUGUAAACUGUUAAAUCAUUUCUGCACCAUGAUGCAUGAGUACUUCUUCUAAGACUAAUAAGCUUCUAGUUUUGAUUUGAUCAAUUUCAUAGCAAAAACCAAUAAUUUUUGAAUUCUACCAUAGAAUUGUGACUAUGUGCAUCACUAUUAGGCCAUUUCUCCAUUCUACUUUGACAUAUCUACUCUAUGCGAGAAAAGCUAAUUUUUGAGGUCUAGCUAUGUGAUUUUUUCUGCUUUACACUUAGGCACCUUCCACAGGAGGCCUGGCCACGAGGACCGACAGGGCCACAGAAGGCAGUCCAUCCAUACUGUUGACGCCAUGCGAGGGGUUUAUUGGCAUCCCAUGUGACACAAUAAGCACUGACCCUGUUCAAGUCCCAUCCAUUAGCUGAAGGAUUGUAAAUAUGGUAGGUUGCACGCACAUUGGUACCUUGAAAUUAGCUUCGGAAUAAAGUCGUUACCACCACGAAAGCAAAAUGAAUGCAGGUGCAGAGCUCUAAGACUAGUCAAAUUCACUGAUUUAGGUAGAUGAACAAGUACAGGGAUCGGGUGCAUCAUCCACUCUAGUCUUAUGUUCAACUUCAAUGUCACCAAUGAAUUACAAUUAAAAAGGCAAUGAGGCAGCACGUAACCAGAACGUUUAGUUUUAAUAUAGAUGUCAAGUAGUUGAACACUUGAACAUUGUGACGUAGUGUCACGAAGCGCAUCCAUGCUUCCAUACUGAAAAAGGAAUAGGCAAGACGGAAAGAAGUGAUAUUUGAUGACAUAUCACGCAAAGUUUUUUUUGCAAAUUGCAAGCUGGGGUUAGGCAGACCCCGACCAGAUUAUUAUUAACUCAAAACUUUCGGACUUAAUGUCUAGUGUACAUCACGCAAAGUUAAUACGUUGUACAAAAAAUCAGUAAAUUUCUCCCUUCUCUUCAAUUUGAAAAGAACAUGUAGAUUAUUAUAAUGUGUAUCAAAGUCGAAGUUGAGAGAAGGUAGAGUUUUCCAAAGUGAAAUCCAUCUUUUUGAUAAAAUGCAUGUUUGAAUAACAUACUUCAUUUCUAGGUAAGAUAGUAUAUGAUGAAUAAUAUGUUCUGGUAAGUUGCUGAUAAUAUCUUCUUCCUUAGUGCCCAUCAUCACUGAUCCACUUAUUCUGAACAAAAACAAAACAAACCAACCUUAAACAACUUUUACUUAUGAUUAAUCAAUAAACUUAAAACAAUAUAUUUUGCAAAUUAUAUAAACUUAAACAAAUCUAAACACAUGAACAGAACAGAACAAAACAAUGGUUUGUAAUUAAUGAUGAUAAUAAGUAAAAAAAAAAAAAAAACCUACACCUUGAUGAUACGUGAGUACGUGACUUCACAUAGGAACCAAAUUGCAAUUGGAUUGAAAGGGCAGCAAGAUUAAAGAGAAACCUUAAUUGUGUACUUAGGUUUAUUCGUGUGUCGGUUGUGCAAUGCGGCGAGAAGACUCGUUAGACACGUGUCCGACAUCAAUUGAUGGGGGGCUCUAUGUUAAAUUUAAGAAAAUACAGGGAUUUCUAUUUAAUUUUAAAUUUCCAAUUAUUAAAAGGAGUAUGAUUUAUAAAAUAAACCGAGGACCAUAUUAACAUACCCACUUAACUGAAAUAACUAAAUUUUGGCGGGAGGUGUUUGGUUAGUGAAGAGGUGUUUCGCUUCGCUAAAAGAAAUAAAGAAAUAUCCGAAACGCUACCAAAUGAUCAACAAACACACCUCUUAACGUUUCAUGGUUGUUCUGGUUUCUAUAAAUUUCUCAAAGAAUAGAGAACUUGGUGUGUCACUCACUUACUCAUUCUCUGUUUGUUCUCGGAACAGUUUCAGUUUGUUUUUAAUAGAUUUGCGAGUUUUUUCGGGAUUUUUUUUGAACAAAUGGAGAACAGACGAGGCAAUGUCAGUGGAACAGAUUCUGGUUCCACAAGAGAUGAGCAUGCUGCUAUCGGUAGGAAUUCACCAUCACCACCAAGAGAGAACAACAAUCUCACUAUGAGUCCAGAAGAAGAAGAAAUUAUUCAAAAUCAUUUCGGACUUCUUAGGUUGCAAAGCAACAGAGGCAAUGCUGGUGGUCCAAUACGCACCAGAGACAUACAAAGAAGAUUUAACAGAGCAAAUCCAUACCCAAGCCUUGUCAACCAAUAUGAUCCUAUGAAUCUGACUGGGCAACAAUACUUUCCCAGAAUUGGAUUGAGUAACAGUCGGCCUAAUGCUUCAACUAUGUUGCCAACUGGUGUGAGGGCUGGGAUGUUAAGGUUGGCAAGUGGUAAUAACUACAAUGCUUCUGGUUCUGGUUCUGAAAUAAGAGCCAGGGUUCCCUAUGCUUCCCAAGGCAUAACAACAUUCGGUCGAUUCUCUUAUGAGGCGAACCCAUCGCUACGAUAUACAAAUCGCCAUAGUAAGUUCAUUUGCUCACUGUUUCUCUUCUAUGUAAAUAAAUUUGAAUUAUGUAGUUCAGCAUACACAUCAUUUAUUGUGCUUUGUAAUUAUAUAUGAUUGCAGGUGAAACUAUUGAGGAAGGUGUUCGGAAUCAUGCAACUAUGCUGGCACUUCUAGCUAUUGCAGAGAAUCAGAUGAGAAACAAUGCACUCAGAGAGGUUAGAAGGCAGGAUCACCAGUUUCCUGCUUUAAAUCCAUUUAACAAUGUUGCCACUCAUGCAAACUCAUAAGAAAGUGGCAUUGGUGGAUCCCAAGCAGUAUCAGAAGAAGUUAAUUCUCACCAUGUGAAUAUGGAUGAAGUACAGUCUGCAUUUGGAGAUGAUAGUAGUACAAAAUGUUCGCUUUGUUUGGGGGAAUUGAUAGCUGAUUCUUCCAACAGGAGACGUUGUGGACAUUAUAUUCACUACACAUGUAUCAUGACCUAUGAGUGGAUCUUAGAUUGCUACUUCUGCCACCGAGCCAGGAGGUUGCAAGGAGACUAGGUCACAUGACAUGACUUUUUAGAAGUUAUAUUCUUUCCCAAUGAAAUAAAACCCUUGUAUUUCGUAUAUUAUGAUAUAUAUAUUAGUGUUGUAUGAGAAAAAAAAUUCUUUUUAUUAUUAUUAUUAUUUAAUUUGUUGAUGCUUUUAGAAAUUAAAUUCCUGACGAGCGCCAAGAUUACAGACUAGGCACUGAAACUGCUCUGUUUAAACAUCCCUGCAAUCAAAACACCCAAAAUCUUCACACUGCUACUGCUGAUGUAUAGUAGCACAGAUCACUGAAGGAUGAAAUUAGAGGUGCUUCCAUGUUUUGAUCAGUAGCAUGCAUUCCCCUCAUAGAUCUGACGACUUCUUCUCCAACUUCCACUCCUGCACUGAUUAAAUCAUUGUCAGCACCAGUCCAAAGAUUCAUAACAACAUCAGUGAAUAUGGAAAUUCAAACCACCGAGUGCAACUGGCAGAGCCUUGAGCAUCUGAAUGAAGGCCACAACAAAUAAGCAGUGUUACACUGUUACCAAACCAGAGGCUUGAUGGGAAUGACACACGUUUCUAUUGUCAUUUUAAUGGGCAAUACAACCUUAAAAUAAGGAUCGCCACGGCAUCAGAAAAUCCCAUGAAGUAAUAGAAGGAGAGACAACUAUAAACGGUUUGAUCAAGGUACAUGUGAAUAUGUGAUAUGAAAGCACUGUGUAGAUCAAGGAAAUCAACACUACAACACACAAAUGAACAAGAACAACAAAAACCAGAAGCGAGUUGGAGAAGAAUUGAAGAAGAGCAAGUUGAAGUGUUGUUCUGUUCUGUGUUUCUAUCUCUCUUUCGAUGCUGACUAAACUAGCGGAACUUGGCAAUUGGUGCAGCCAACCACUCACAACAGGUCCAUGGGCACUGCAAGUCAAUUGACAUAGGAAUGAAGAUACUGUUACAGCACAACUAUAUACCAAACAGAACUCAUAGGAUGCAUAACCUUAUAACUAUAUAUAAAUCGGGGUGUAAAGGUCUCAUCUUCAUAAGAAAAAAAGGGUAAUGCCAUAGAAAACAAUCCUGCUUCUUAAAAUUCGCAAAAAGUAGCAUGGGGAAAUUUACUAAACAGGCGAUAAAACAAUGUAACAAACAGGCAACAAUCAAACAUUGUAAACUGGAUACAAUAAAACUUCUCAGCAUUGGGUCCUAACAUCAAUGUUCUUCGUCACUUGGUGCCACACUCUAGGCAUGCUAGUAGUGAUGCAAUUUGUAUAGUAACACCUUGCCACUAGCAUUCCCCAUGGCCAUGAAACCUCCACCAGGACUAAAAUCCAAACAGCGAGGAUGACCCAGGUUAGUUUUUGGGGGCGGCCAGUUUGAAAAUACAGAGAAAGAUGGAAUAUGUACCAACUUUAAAUUGUUCUUCUGCAUGGUCGAACACAUAGCCAAUAUUUGAGCAUCGUGGUUGAAUUUCAGAAAGUCCACUUUGGUUGUCAGAUUCUCAAUGGUUUUCAUGGGUUUCCUUUUACCUCCCAGAAGCUCCUCUGUUGUAAAUGUUCACAAUGGCACUACUUGAACCUGCAGCCAAUAAAGAACCAUUGGGGGAGGUACCAAGAGCAGAUCCCAUUAUGCAACCUUCGUCAACAGCCUUGUGAAAGCACGUCCUCAGCUCGUUCUCAAAUCCCAGUGGUAGAUAUGCCCAUCCCCACCAGAGCUCAUUAGUUGUGUUCCAUCAUCAUUAAAAGCCAAAGAUCGAGCGCUCCCAUUCAUCUUUAGGGUCCCAAUGAGCUCCUUUGUCUUGCAUGAAACCAGCAAAAUAUAACCUUCGUUACCCACAAAGGCAAUGGUACGAGAAUCUGGAGAAACCUCAAAAACUUCCAAGCUCUUCUCAUCUCUACCAGUUAGCGGACCUAUACGAUCAAACUUCGCGAUCGCCAAGUCAAAACUGUAAAAGAACUUUCUCCUACCUCCUACAAUAACCUGAGACCCAUCUGGUAAGAAGGAUGCCUUGAGAAUAGGGCAAUCCUCAAGGAAAACACUUUGUAUCAUGGGGUUUCGCUUACCAUCAACCUGAAAAAACCUCAGCCUCCGAUCAAAUCCAGCAGCAAGUAGUAAUUGAGCAUUUCUGUGGAACUGAACAGAAUUUAUUGAAGUAUGUAGUACCCCUACAAGGUUCAUCCUCUUUUACCUCAGCAACUUGUCUUUUGCGCAAAGCAUUUUGAGAUAUUAAACUCAUCCUCUGGAUAUAACACAAGUCACAAAUAACAUUAGCUCCUCAAACCUCUUAAGCUUAAGAAAUUACAGGACAUAUAGUGGGUUGUAAUGUGUGUGGUAAGAACAAAAACUGAAACGAAUACUUUAUAAGAUGCUUGAAUGGAUUUUUUACAUGAAAUCAUUAUGUACCAACACCAAUGCAAAAUAAAAACAUUUUUGGUGCAAAACUUCAACAAGAUAGUGGGGGGGUCAACAUAAAUGGGAUUUAGUCUGGUUCACAAGAUAUCUGAUUACACUGGUGGGGAAAUAAAAAAUUGUCGGAAAUUAUAAACUAGACAAAUAUUUGAAGUUGUUAUGUCUUGAUAAAACAUCCCAGUACCAAAUUCAAAAACUUACCCUGUCAUAACAUGAAAUCAGAAUGAAAUUUAAGUAGAAAAAUGGAACUUCCGUUAAAACUCUUACACUACAAAAAGCAAGGGUAAUUAACGAAAAACUUGCUAUGCAAUAUUUUAUUUCAAUAAAAUCAACAUGCCGAAUUAACAAUGCUAUUUUGUUUCAAUAAUAUAAACCCGCCCAAAUCACAAUGUAUCAAAAAUUUCCAUAGGGUAAUCAAAUUAUCAAAUUACCAAGCAACCAAAUUAAACAAGGUGCCCAAUAAAGAAUUUGGCCAUUUUUAACAUGAAUACUUAUUUCCCUCUCUGCACUGCAAUCCACUCACAUUUUGUACCAUAAUAAACAAACUUUGCAAUCUACUAUUAAAAAAACGCAUCAUUUGGAGCUCAAAUUCAAGAUUGAAAACUAGAAAAGGCGGAAUUUUUAGCUCAAACUAUAUCAAUUGAGAUUAAAAUUUGUCUACUUCUAAAUAGAUUUCAGUAAAAGUAAUGAAUUUAAUUUAUUCUUGUUGGGGAAUAGAGAUGAAGAAAUAAAACCAUGAAAACUAUAAGAAAAUUGAAGUAGAUAAACAAAUAAUUACCUGUUAAUUAAAGCAAUUCAAUUCUCUCUUAUUGAGCUAUCUCUUAGGAAGAAAGAGAAAGUGAGAUUUGAGAUGGAGAGGAAGGAAGGAAGGAAGAAAAGGGUAUGUCUUCGUCUUUCUCUGAUUCUCUCUAUAAUUGCAGAGUGAAGUAGGGUUUUGGUUUUUGACUAAACCCUAGUUGUUCAGUGAGUCAUUUUUUUGGCUGAGUGAGUAAAAAGUAGUAAACUAGGGUCUGUUUGAUAACCGGUGAAUCCGAGUUUUCACCCGGAUGAAUUAGAUUUGCUCGGUUUGACCGUUGUUUGCCGGUGUUUGAUAAAAGGAAUUUGCGCGGGAUGAAAUUUACCGAAAAACAGCACGUGCCUCGAUUUACCCGGAUUCAUCCGGGUGAAUCGGUUCCGCGGGGGGGGGGGGGGGGGGGGGUUGGGUAAAAUUCCCCAAUGCUAUUUACCCGGUUUGAUUUGCACAUGUAUAAAAGCCAAUUUUUUUGUUUUUCCUUAACCUAUUUACCCUUUCUUCUUCGCAAAAAGACUGUUCAGAAGAGAGAAAACAAUGGCGAUGGCGAUUUCUGUCUAAAACUCCCACUAUUCGCUCGAUUUCGACAGGUUAUCUUCUAUCUUCCUUCAUUUUUAUACUUCCACUUCUUCUCUCUUCCUAGAUUUUUGUUUUUCGCGAUUGCAAAAUGCGAUUUCUGUUUUGAGAUAAAUUCCUACUCCAAAUUUUGAUAUAUGAGAAUGGUUUUGUUGGUUUAAAUCAUGUAUUUAGGGGUGUUAUGUGAGCUGAGCAGCUCGAGCUAGGCUCGUGUUCGGCUCGAAAAAAGCUCGGCUCGGGCUCGCUCAUCUUGUAAAACGAGCCGAGCUUGAACAGAUUUAAGGCUCGUCUCGAGCUCGAGCCGAGCCCGAGCUUUAUUCGAGCCGAGCCGAGUAGCUCGAGUUUAUAUAAUUUAGAUUACCAGCCUACCCCCACUAAUAUAUCUUAUUCCUAUCCUACCCCAGUAUAUAUCAACCAUUCAACAUAGGGGUGCUGAUUGGGGCGGGACAGGGCGGGAGAAUAGUGUGCGGGGUUGGGGCGGGGCGGGGCGGGGCCAAAGAAUCCCCGUUCUUAGGCGGGACGGGGCGGGGAACGGGGGGCUUAAGAAAGUUCACCCCCAUCCCUGCCCUGUACAGGUCGGGGGACGAGGAACGGGGCGGGGCGGGGACGGGGAAUGUGACACCAUAUAUGCUGCUUUUUUUUGAUAGAAAUAAAAUUUUAUUAAUCACCAAGAAAACCACUAUUACACUCCUGAUCAGCAGGUGUAAAACCCGUCAGGUUCAGACCAGACUCAGACCCAACAUUGACAAACAGAUACACUAAAAGCCUUGCGCAAAGGCUGCAGGGCAGCAGACUCUUAUUUGCUGUUGCAGACGGGCAGACCCUGAAAACAUCACCAUGCAGACCACUGCAACCUGCUGAAGCUUAAGUGUGCAUGCCCUUUCCAUGACUCUGACAAUCUCAACUGGUCCUUGGCAUUCUUCAAGUCUUCUUGUAGCUCAGCAAUCUGUGAUUCCAACUCAGCAAUCUGUCACUUCAAUAGUUGAAUUUUGCAGAUGUUACAGUUGUAGAUUCCAAGCAUCCACUGAGCAAUGUUGAAUUAAUGUACUAAUCAACUAUUGUUGAGUUGAUUAGCAUGUUAAUCAACUGAUAUUUGAGUUGAUUAAUGUACUAAUCAACUGAUAUUUGAGUUGAUUAAUAUACUAAUCAACUAUUUUUGAGUUGAUUAAUGUACUAAUCAACUAUUAUUGAGUUGAUUAACAUGUUAAUCAACUGAUAUUUGAGUUGAUUAAUGUACUAAUCAACUAUUGUUGAGUUGAUUAAUAUACUAAUCAACUAAAUAGAAAUGAAAGUAUAAAUUAAUUAACAUGUUAGUGGAGUUGAUUAAUGAUAAUCAGCUGAAAUUUAAGUUGAUUAAUAAGUUAAUCAACAAACAUUUGAGUUAAUUAAUAUGAUAAUCAACUGAUAUUUAAGUUGAUUAAUGUACUAAUCAACUAUUAUUGAGUUGAUUAGCAUGUUAAUCAACUGAUAUUUGAGUUGAUUAAUGUACUAAUCAACUAUUGUUGAGUUGAUUAAUAUACUAAUCAACUAUUGUUGAGUUGAUUAAUAUACUAAUCAACUAAAUAGAAAUGAAAGUAUAAAUUAAUUAACAUGUUAGUGGAGUUGAUUAAUGUUAAUCAGCUGAAAUUAAGUGAUAAUAAGUAAAUCAACAAACAUUUGAGUUAAUUAAUAUGAUAAUCAACUGAUAUUUAAGUUGAUUAAUGUACUAANNNNNNNNNNNNNNNNNNNNNNNNNNNNNNNNNNNNNNNNNNNNNNNNNNNNNNNNNNNNNNNNNNNNNNNNNNNNNNNNNNNNNNNNNNNNNNNNNNNNNNNNNNNNNNNNNNNNNNNNNNNNNNNNNNNNNNNNNNNNNNNNNNNNNNNNNNNNNNNNNNNNNNNNNNNNNNNNNNNNNNNNNNNNNNNNNNNNNNNNNNNNNNNNNNNNNNNNNNNNNNNNNNNNNNNNNNNNNNNNNNNNNNNNNNNNNNNNNNNNNNNNNNNNNNNNNNNNNNNNNNNNNNNNNNNNNNNNNNNNNNNNNNNNNNNNNNNNNNNNNNNNNNNNNNNNNNNNNNNNNNNNNNNNNNNNNNNNNNNNNNNNNNNNNNNNNNNNNNNNNNNNNNNNNNNNNNNNNNNNNNNNNNNNNNNNNNNNNNNNNNNNNNNNNNNNNNNNNNNNNNNNNNNNNNNNNNNNNNNNNNNNNNNNNNNNNNNNNNNNNNNNNNNNNNNNNNNNNNNNNNNNNNNNNNNNNNNNNNNNNNNNNNNNNNNNNNNNNNNNNNNNNNNNNNNNNNNNNNNNNNNNNNNNNNNNNNNNNNNNNNNNNNNNNNNNNNNNNNNNNNNNNNNNNNNNNNNNNNNNNNNNNNNNNNNNNNNNNNNNNNNNNNNNNNNNNNNNNNNNNNNNNNNNNNNNNNNNNNNNNNNNNNNNNNNNNNNNNNNNNNNNNNNNNNNNNNNNNNNNNNNNNNNNNNNNNNNNNNNNNNNNNNNNNNNNNNNNNNNNNNNNNNNNNNNNNNNNNNNNNNNNNNNNNNNNNNNNNNNNNNNNNNNNNNNNNNNNNNNNNNNNNNNNNNNNNNNNNNNNNNNNNNNNNNNNNNNNNNNNNNNNNNAUCUAUACAAUGAAACCCAUCCCUGCCCUGCUCCCCAUUGGGGCGGAUACGGGGCGGGGCAAAUAUUGGGGCGGGGCGGGGAGAUAAAAAACGGGGCGGGGAACAGGGCGGGUCCGGGUCACGGGGCAAGUUGAGCACCCCUAAUUCAACAUAACAUCUUCUCCUUCUUCUGGAAACCUAGCCGCCCGUCUCCUUCUUCUUCUCUACGACUCUAACUCAAUCUAACAUCUUCUUCUCUCUCUCUCUCUCUCUUUUUCUCUUGUUUCUCUCUUUCUCUCUCAUCGAGCUUCUCGUCUCUCUCUUAUCAAUGGAGCUUAAGAGAACACUGUAAUUAACAACAACAUCGUCUUCGAUCGUUGUUCGAUCUACAAAUUAAGGUUUGUUAUUCUCUUAUCUAUAAUCAAUUUCACUUCUUUUUGUUUAAUUCUUAUAGAUUUUUUAUAACGACAUUCGUUUUCUUAAACCCUUUAUUGAUUUUGUUUUUAAAGUUUGAAUUUUGAAUUUUGAUUUUAAUUUUUAGUUUAAUUGAUUUUAUUGAUCGAGAUUUUUUUGGUAAGAUUUGAAUUUUUGUUUGUUUGUGUUUAUUGGGAAAUGAGAUAAGAUUAUUUGAAUUUAAAAAACGAUGAGUUUGUUAGUUUUUGAUUUAUUUUAAUUUGAUUUAUUACUAUUCAAAUUAUGAAGUGAUUGUAGUUGAUUAAUUAGUGUUGAUCAGUGAACAGUAAGAGUGGGGUUUGGGAGUUGUGCAAUUCAAAUGGGUUCGAGCUUCAGUUGUGCAGACAGACAGUAAUAUGCUUUAUACCAGAAAAAGGCUGCAAACGAGCUAAACGAGCUUGGAGGGCUCGAGCUCGGCUCGAGCUAAACGAGCUUGGAGGGUUCGAGCUUAACUCGAGCUAAACGAGCUUGGAGGGCUCGAGCUCGGCUCGAGCUAAACGAGCCUAACGAGCUCGAGCUCGAGCUUGAUAAAUAGCUCGCGAGCCGAGUUUGAACAUAAAACAAAGCUCGAUUCAUAAAUUUGGCUCGGCUCGGGCUCGACUCGUAUUAAAACGAGCCGAGUAUGAACAUUCAAAGCUCGGUUCGAAUAACACCCCUACAUGUAUUUAGCUAAUUCAAGUUUAUUAAAGUUAGGGUUGUUAGAUUUUUUCAAAUUUUUUCAAAGUUAGGGUUUUUGAAAAUUUAGGGGUUUGUGUAAAUUUAUGAAAUUUAUGGUUGUGUUGAUCAAAUUAUGCUUUAAUUAGGUUAGUUUUGAUUUUUCUACUCCAUCAAUUGCUAAAAAGUUAUAAUUUCAUUUCGGAAUCUGGUUGUUUUGGUUUGUAUACUCCAAAUUUCUUAAAAGUUAAAAUUUUAAUUUCCAAAUGUGGUUUGAUUUGUUCUAUUACUGUUUUAAUUUCAUUUUCAGAAUCUGGACUUCGAGGAAUUAUGAAUAUUGUACUGGUUAAAUUUGUUAAGAUCAUAUCAAUGAAUAAUAAGCUUAAUUACUUAUUAUUUCAAUUUACGGAUAAGAGGUGUGCUAAGGGUUGAUUGUGUAAUACAUAGUCAUAUAUGAGUAAAUUAUUCGUAUAUACAAUAUUCUUUUUUGUCAAUCUUAUCAAAUUUAAGAAAAACAUGAAGUAUGUGAAAAGAAAAAAUGAGUUAGAAGAAAGAAACUGUACUUUAAAUCGCAAUGUCACUAUCACGCAAUGAUGUCUGGAGUUGUGACUGAAACAAUAUUCUUAUUAGAGAUGUUUAAGUUAAGGUUAAUUUUGGAUAUUUUGGUGACCAUUAUUACAUUAUAUGGUUAACGACGUUUUUAACAAAUUCUUGAUGCUUAUUAUUUUAUUCUUAGUUUUUCAAGUACAAACCAUAUCAGGUUUUCAGGUCGACCUGAACCUGACCUGAUAACCUGACAGGUCAGGUUCAGGUUUCACUUUUGAAGUUAAAACAAGCCAUCAGGUCAGGUUCAGGUUUUGGGGUUCAGACCUGAUAACCUGACUGACCUGACCCAAACCUGACCCGACCCGACCUGAUUGCCAGCCCUAAUCCACGUCCACUCAUUAAUUUUUAUUAAACAUUUUUUUAGCUCAGAAAAUCAAGUUCGAACGAAUAUUUAAAAGAAUCGGGUAGAAAGGAUUUCAAGCGCAGUUUGUAGUGUGUUUGUCCUUUAUUUUUGUGCAAUUUCUUAAGUUUAUCAAUAAAAUGGUUUUCCCCUUUAAAAAAUUCUACUCAACCUGUGAUUUAAUUACUCUGUUGAAUUUUUCACUUUUUGCUAGGGGUGUUAUGUGAGCUGAGCAGCUCGAGCUCGACUCGUGUUCGGCUCGAUUAAAGCUCGGCUUGGGCUCGCUUAUCUUAUAAAACGAGCCGAGCUUAAACAGAUUUUAGGCUCGGCUCGAGCUCGAGCCGAGCUCGAGCUUUAUUCGAGCCGAGCCGAGUAGCUCGAAUUUAGAAAUGGUUAAGUUAUGUUACCCAUCCUACCCCCGUUAAUAUGUGUUAUUCCUAUCCCUACCCCCACUAUAUAUGAAUAUAUCAACAUAACAAUAUGUGAAACCUAGCCGUCUCCCUUCUCCUUCUUCUUUCUCUAACUCGAUCUAACCAGUAUCCAUCUUCAUCUCCAGUUGGUGCCUUGGUGGUAACUUCAUACUUCAUUGUUAAGAAAAAAGGAUUGAAAAAAGGAUUGAAGAAAGCUGGUAGUUUCAUACUUCAUCUCCAAUUGGUAAUUUGCUAAAUUUUUGUUUGCAAUUUCUUCGUUCCAAUUUACAGAUUUUGAUUCAUGAAUUUGAGUUUUAUGAUUAAUUAAACAACACUUAUAAACAACAAGUUUAGUUUUUUUAAUUUCUACUCAAAUUAUAUGAGUUACAUCUUUCUUUCUAUGCUGCUGCUGCUGCUUCUUCACAAUCAUCUAUUUUUGUAAUGAAUUAAAUUAAGAUAAUCUGAUUAGUGUAAUUAAUUAAUUUAGUUAUGGGUAAGGAGGUUGUAUCAUUAUUUUUCUAUUAAUUUCUGUAUUUCAUGACUUCUCUUUUGUCCCUGAAUUAUAUUAAAGAAAAAGAUGAUGUUACAAGGUGGACUGGAAACUGCAGUUACAAAUAAACUGUGGCUUGAUUUAUGACAGAAGAAACUUCUUGUAGUAGGUUUUAGAUAUCGAGAUUUUAGUGGAAAUCUUUGGUAAGAAUGUAAGAUAGAGAGAAUGCAACAGAGGUCUGUUUUAUACCAGGAAAAAGCUGCAAAUGAGCUAAACGAGCUCGAGCUAAACGAGCUUUGAGUGUUCGAGCUUGAUUCGAGCUAAACGAGCUUGGAGGGCUCGAGCUCCGCUCGAGCUAAACGAGCCUAACAAGCUCGAGCUCGAGCUUGAUAAAUAGCUCACGAGCCGAGCUUGAACAUAAAACCAGGCUCGAUUCAGAAAUUGGGCUCGGCUCGGGCUCGACUCGUAUUAAAACGAGCCGAGUAUGAGCAUUCAAAGCUCGGCUCGAAUAACACCCCUACAUUUUGCCGUUUGCCAAUAAAAUAUGAACUAGUUUACUACUUUUUACUCACUCAGCCAAAAAAAUACAAAAAUAAAAACGAGCCUGGUUUUAUGUUCAAGCUCGGCUUGAACAGAAAUGGGAUUUAGUCUGGUUCACAAGAUAUCUGAUUACACUGGUGGGGAAAUAAAAAAUUGUCGGAAAUUAUAAACUAGACAAAUAUUUGAAGUUGUUAUGUCUUGAUAAAACAUCCCAGUACCAAAUUCAAAAACUUACCCUGUCAUAACAUGAAAUCAGAAUGAAAUUUAAGUAGAAAGAUGGAACUUCCGUUAAAACUCUUACACUACAAAAAGCAAGGGUAAUUAACGAAAAACUUGCUAUGCAAUAUUUUAUUUCAAUAAAAUCAACAUGCCGAAUUAACAAUGCUAUUUUGUUUCAAUAAUAUAAACCCGCCCAAAUCACAAUGUAUCAAAAAUUUCCAUAGGGUAAUCAAAUUAUCAAAUUACCAAGCAACCAAAUUAAACAAGGUGCCCAAUAAAGAAUUUGGCCAUUUUUAACAUGAAUACUUAUUUCCCUCUCUGCACUGCAAUCCACUCACAUUUUGUACCAUAAUAAACAAAUUUUGCAAUCUACUAUUAAAAAAACGCAUCAUUUGGAGCUCAAAUUCAAGAUUGAAAACUAGAAAAGGCGGAAUUUUUAGCUCAAACUAUAUCAAUUGAGAUUAAAAUUUGUCUACUUCUAAAUAGAUUUCAGUAAAAAGUAAUGAAUUUAAUUUAUUCUUGUUGGGGAAUAGAGAUAGAGAAAUAAAACCAUGAAAACUAUAAGAAAAUUGAAGUAGAUAAACAGAUAAUUACCUGUUAAUUAAAUCAAUUCAAUUCUCUCUUAUUGAGCUAUCUCUUAGGAAGAAAGAGAAAGUGAGAUUUGAGAUGGAGAGGAAGGAAGGAAGGAAGAAAAGGGUAUGUCUUCGUCUUUCUCUGAUUCUCUCUAUAAUUGCAGAGUGAAGUAGGGUUUAGUCAAAAAGUAGCGGCCACGACGAAGGUUGAACUGCANNNNNNNNNNNNNNNNNNNNNNNNNNNNNNNNNNNNNNNNNNNNNNNNNNNNNNNNNNNNNNNNNNNNNNNNNNNNNNNNNNNNNNNNNNNNNNNNNNNNNNNNNNNNNNNNNNNNNNNNNNNNNNNNNNNNNNNNNNNNNNNNNNNNNNNNNNNNNNNNNNNNNNNNNNNNNNNNNNNNNNNNNNNNNNNNNNNNNNNNNNNNNNNNNNNNNNNNNNNNNNNNNNNNNNNNNNNNNNNNNNNNNNNNNNNNNNNNNNNNNNNNNNNNNNNNNNNNNNNNNNNNNNNNNNNNNNNNNNNNNNNNNNNNNNNNNNNNNNNNNNNNNNNNNNNNNNNNNNNNNNNNNNNNNNNNNNNNNNNNNNGCAAAAAAAAUCAAUUAAAUUCUUCUUUUUUCACAUUUUUCUUAGGAAAAAAGAAAAAGUGGUAUUUGGGUCGGGGGCGAGGGACGAAAGAAGAAAAAGGCAUUCCCUUCCUUUUUCUCGGAUUCCCCCAAAAUUCCCGGAGGAAAGUGGGGUUUUGUUUUGGGAACAACCCCUGGUUUUUUCGUGGGUAAACUUUUUGGGGCCCCAUGAUUAAAACCAAAAAUCUGGGACGGCCCCCACAUUAAAGAUUUUGCCCCAAAUUUUGCACUAUUUCUGCCAAUUCGUUUUUUUUUUUCUUCCGGCAGUUCGCUUUCGGGGGGGGGGGGGGGGUUGGGUAAAAUUCCACGAACUGACAAAAAAAUACAAAAAUAAAAACGAACUGACAGAAAUAGUCAACAUUUUGGGCCAAAUUCUUAAUACUGUGGGCCGAUCCAAUAUCAUGUUUGAGAUCAUGAAGCCCAAGAGAGUUGACUCACUGAACAACUAGGGUUUAGUCAAAAACCAAAACCCUACUUCACUCUGCAAUUAUAGAGAGAAUCAGAGAAAGACGAAGACAUACCCUUUUCUUCCUUCCUUCCUUCCUCUCCAUCUCAAAUCUCACUUUCUCUUUCUUCCUAAGAGAUAGCUCAAUAUGAGAAUUGAAUUGAUUUAAUUAUCUGUUUAUCUACUUCAAUUUUCUUAUAGUUUUCAUGGUUUUAUUUCUUCAUCUCUAUUCCCCAACAAGAAUAAAUUAAAUUCAUUACUUUUUACUGAAAUCUAUUUAGAAGUAGACAAAUUUUAAUCUCAAUUGAUAUAGUUUGAGUUAAAAAUUCCGCCUUUUCUAGUUUUCAAUCUUGAAUUUGAGCUCCAAAUGAUGCGUUUUUUUAAUAGUAGAUUGCAAAGUUUGUUUAUUAUGGUACAAAAUGUGAGUGGAUUGCAGUGCAGAGAGGGAAAUAAGUAUUCAUGGAAGCUCACUUCAUGUUAAAAAUGGCCAAAUUCUUUAUUGGGCACCUUGUUUAAUUUGGUUGCUUGAUAAUUUGAUUACCCUAUGAAAAUUUUUGAUACAUUGUGAUUUGGGCGGGUUUAUAUUAUUGAAACAAAAUAGCAUUGUUAAUUCGGCAUGUUGAUUUUAUUGAAAUAAAAUAUGCAUAGCAAGUUUUUCGUUAAUUACCCUUGCUUUUUGUAGUGUAAGAGUUUUAACGGAAGUUCCAUCUUUCUACUUAAAUUUCAUUCUGAUUUCAUGUUAUGACAGGGUAAGUUUUUGAAUUUGGUACUGGGAUGUUUUAUCAAGACAUAACAACUUCAAAUAUUUAUCUAGUUUACAAUUUUUUAUUUCCCCACCAGUGUAAUCAGAUAUCUUGUGAACCAGACUAAAUCCCAUUUCUGUUGACCCCCCCACUAUCUUGUUGAAGUUUUGCAUCAAAAAUGUUUUUAUUUUGCAUUGGUGUUGGUACAUAAUGAUUUCAUGUAAAAAAUCCAUUCAAGCAUCUUAUAAAGUAUUCGUUUCAGUUUUUGUUCUUACCACACACAUUACAACCCACUAUAUGUCCUGUAAUUUCUUAAGCUUAAGAGGUUUGAGGAGCUAAUGUUAUUUGUGACUUGUGUUAUAUCCAGAGGAUGAGUUUAAUAUCUCAAAAUGCUUUGCGCAAAAGACAAGUUGCUGAGGUAAAAGAGGAUGAACCUAAUGAUACCCUACUUCUGGAAGAAAGUGAAGAAACUGAGGAGGUGAAAGAAAUUAAGAAGAGAAAGAAAGUGCAGAAUGAAGAUAAAAAACAGAUAGAAGAGGAAGAGAGGGCAAUGAAGAUGCAUGAAAGCUUCUUGUUUGGCUCUCUCUAUCCUCUUGGUGAAUUUGGAAGGGAAGAAGAUUCUACAGGUGAGGUCGAUGGGGGAGCCUCCUUGUUUUUUACAGAUCGUUCUGCUAGCAAAAUAGUUGCAACAUGCGAAGAGGAAGUAGAAUAUCAAGAUAGAAAUGAAGAUAAUGAAAUGGAAAUCAGGAAGGCAGUAUGGGUGGAUGAGGAAGAGGAGAUUACACGUGUAGACGUUGGUCGCAAAACCCGGGCUAAGAAAUUGAAGGCAGAAGAAGAUGAAACUUUGAUAGGGGGGUCAGAGUAUGUAUCUAGAUCAAGGGCUCAGUUUGUUAAGCUAAACCCUGGUACAGAGUGGGCCCAACAAGGGCCACAAGUGAGGAAUGAUGAUGAAUCUGAUGAAGAACUUGGAGCUGUAGUUGACUACGGCGACCAGGAUAAUGAAGGCAAUGACAGUAUCCUUCGUAGUAAUGAAGACCUUGUGGUGAAGAGUAGUGUAAAACUGUCGCCUGGACUUCUUGAGUACUCAAGACUUGUAGAUGCAAAUGCUGAAGACCCAUCAAAUGCUUCAAUAAAUUCUGUUCAGUUCCACAGAAAUGCUCAAUUACUACUUGCUGCUGGAUUUGAUCGGAGGCUGAGGUUUUUUCAGGUUGAUGGUAAGCGAAACCCCAUGAUACAAAGUGUUUUCCUUGAGGAUUGCCCUAUUCUCAAGGCAUCCUUCUUACCAGAUGGGUCUCAGGUUAUUGUAGGAGGUAGGAGAAAGUUCUUUUACAGUUUUGACUUGGCGAACGCGAAGUUUGAUCGUAUAGGUCCGCUAACUGGUAGAGAUGAGAAGAGCUUGGAAGUUUUUGAGGUUUCUCCAGAUUCUCGUACCAUUGCCUUUGUGGGUAACGAAGGUUAUAUUUUGUUGGUUUCAUGCAAGACAAAGGAGCUCAUUGGGACCCUAAAGAUGAAUGGGAGCGCUCGAUCUUUGGCUUUUAAUGAUGAUGGAACACAACUAAUGAGCUCUGGUGGGGAUGGGCAUAUCUACCACUGGGAUUUGAGAACGAGGACGUGCUUUCACAAGGCUGUUGACGAAGGUUGCAUAAUGGGAUCUGCUCUUGGUACCUCCCCCAAUGGUUCUUUAUUGGCUGCAGGUUCAAGUAGUGGCAUUGUGAACAUUUACAACAGAGAAGAGUUUCUGGGAGGUAAAAGGAAACCCAUGAAAACCAUUGAGAAUCUGGCAACCAAAGUGGACUUUCUGAAAUUCAACCACGAUGCUCAAAUAUUGGCUAUGUGUUCGACCAUGCAGAAGAACAGUUUAAAGUUGGUACAUAUUCCAUCUUUCUCUGUAUUUUCAAACUGGCCGCCCCCAAAAACUAACCUGGGUCAUCCUCGCUGUUUGGAUUUUAGUCCUGGUGGAGGUUUCAUGGCCAUGGGGAAUGCUAGUGGCAAGGUGUUACUAUACAAAUUGCAUCACUACCAGCAUACCUAGAGUGUGGCACCAAGUGACGAAGAACAUUGAUGUUAGGACCCAAAUGCUGAGAAGUUUUAUUGUAUCCAGUU
rnacentral:lncRNA from 1 species